AUGUUAUGAUGAUACUAUUUUUCACCAUCUUUCGGCUGAAAUCUAUUGCAGAUAAUCUAUUUUAAACUGAUUUACAU